CGAGGCGCUGUUGCACCUUCUUCACCACACUGUCUGUGUGGGUGGACAAUUUCAGAUCGUCAGUGAUGUGUACGCCAAGGAACAUGACACUCCACCUUCUCCACUGCGGUCCCGUCGAUGUGGAUAGGGAUGUGCUCCCUCUGCUAUUUCCUGAAGUCCAUGAUCACCUAGUUUAAAUGGAGAUGAACCCAGCGGGCUGGAAGACAGGCUACAACAGGCUCCAUUUGAGAGUCAGGGAGGGAGGAUGGAGAGAGAGAGAAAUGAAGGAGGAGGUGAGGCUGCACUAAUUGACUGCACAUCUGCACAGAGCUGUCCUUCCUGCCCUUCCUCCACAAAGCCAUCCAGCCAGCCAGCCAGAAGCCAUCCAGCCAGCCAGAAGCCAUCCAGCCAGCCAGAAGCCAGCCAGCCAGCCAGAAGCCAUCCAGCCAGCCAGUCAGAAGCCAUCCUGCCAGCCAGGGCCCUGCAGGUCAUUAGCAGUAGAGCUGCAGUCAGACACCAGGAGCUCCAGUGGCACCCAAGGCCUGCCCCAUCAGCCCUGGAUAAUGAACAUCAGGCUGGGGCUAGAAUGGGACUUUAAUCACAGGAGCCCAUUUUUAUACGUACCCUUCUGUAGUCAAAGAAAGAAAAUAAAAACUGCCACGGUUUUCUUAUUGACACAAAUUGACUGAACAAAGUCAUUUAUGGGGGCGUAAAUAGACAAAUCAGCCUAUUAGGAAUCAUAACAUUUCAUGUCUAUGUAUAGUAAAGCAUAAUGGUCUGUGCUAUCUGGGCUCCUGAGUGGCGCAGCGGUCUAAGGCACUGCAUCUCAGUGCUAGAGGUGUCACUACAGACACCCUGGUUCGAAUCCAGGCUGUAUCACAACCAGACGUGAUUGGGAGUCCCAUAGGGCGGCGCACAAUUGGACCAGCGUCGUCCAUGUUUGGCUGAUGUAGGCUGUCAUUGUAAAUAAGAAUUUGUUCUUAACUGACUUGCCUAGUUAAAUGAAGGUUAUGUUUUUUUUAAAUACAAAAAAAUCCUUGGGACGUCCCUAACCCAUUGGUUGAAAUGUUAAGGUAAGGUUUAUGUUUAAGGUAUCCUGCAGUCAAAUUACCUAGUGGCCUCAUGUGGAAUGUUAUUAAUAUUUUUCAUAAUUAAUAAAAACAUUUUUUUUACUAGCAAAAAAUCCAGUAUUUCUAUGUCAAACAGUUUUGUUGUAUUCAGUCUUCUGUGAUGUAUAUUAAGUUUAACCUGGUUAGGGACCUGGUUAGGUUAACCUGUUAGGGACAGACGUUGUAUUCAUUCAUAGACUGAAAGAAAAACAUGGAGUCGUCUCGUGCACGCGCAAUCCAGUGUCAUUGUUCCCUGCCUGACCACUCACAAAAACUCCUGCUUUUUUUCGC
rnacentral:lncRNA from 1 species